AAGUGGGAUCCAAUAAGAAGUUGCUAGGCUCGGACGGGCCUAUAGAGGGCUACGAGUGAUCAAAAGGAAUGCACCAAUCAGAAGUCUGUAACUAUGUUUGCCAGCCGCAUGCAGCGCGUGUAGCCGGCUCAGAAAAGCUAUAUAAUAUCUGGCACUGGAACAAUAAAGGG